rnacentral:rRNA from 1 species
UGGUGGUUCUGGCGGGGUGGCUGCACCCGGUCCCAUUCCGAACCCGGCCGUGAAACGCCCCAGCGCCGAUGGUACUUCGUCUUAAGACGCGGGAGAGUAGGUCGCCGCCAGGUC